rnacentral:lncRNA from 1 species
GAGAGACAGAGAAGCCCUGGAGCAAAACCUUUGUCCCGCAGGGGAUGGAUCCUAGAAAACCCAAGGCCGGUUGGGGUGGAGAACUACGUCCGGAGAACCAACUCUUGGAACUGAUUUGAGUUGAACCAACAGAUCCCCCAGGUUGAACCCCUCCGCCGGGCUGAAUUUAGCAGCAGGAGAGAUAACCGGGAGAUAAGGGCUGAUACCCGGCAGGACAGCGGGAGAGCGGCCGAGGGAAGGGGGAGAAGCUGGAAGACGAGUCCUGCAGUGCUUCAGGAGCGGAAACAGAAGAAUUUCGAUGGAGAGCGGUUACAGCUCUGCGAGCAGCACCGCCAGGAGCAGAGAUCUCAAGGAUCCCCUUUGGCUUUGGCUUUCCGAAUGACAACAAAACAGAGCCACGGAAAGCAGAACCCGGACCCACGUCCCCGUGCGGGCAAAGCUCCGCAGCGCCGAGCAUCGAAAACGCUGCGGGGGCGAAGGAGCGGACGGGAGGGGGGGGGGGGCGAAACUGAGCUCCUGUCGUACCCCGAAAACAUUCGUAUAUCUUCACCGUUAUAACUAAAAACGAAAGCAGAAGUCGGGAAUGCGGCGGAGCGCGGGGAAAGUCAAUCGAUCGAUUAGCGAAGAAAUCAAUAAACGAAGGAGUAAAUCUCGGAGUGAAUCGCUGCGAUUGCGGGGAGCGCUGUACCGAAAAGAAAUCGCGGCGCCGCAAACGAAACGGAGCCGAAGUGCGCUCCGGGCAACGAACCGCG